UAUAUUUGCACCGUCUAAUUAAAAGUUAAUUAGGCUACAUAAGAAUCAUUUUAACAAUAUUGGCAUG
rnacentral:ncRNA from 1 species